GAGUGUGGGGGCAUCGAAAGUUGGAUUUUACCGAUCUGAGAAGAACAUCCUGCUGCUAAGAUUAUCCAGAGUAGGCUAACACCACUUCUAAGAGGGAACCACAGUGAGCUGCUUAGAUGAAGUGGCUGCAGUUUGUGCCCAACUCCCAACACGUCAUCAAGGAUUUCAUCUAGACAGGUGCUUCCUGUCCGGACUUUGACGUAAAAUUAAACACAAGUCCAGAUGUGAAGUAUAUGUGUCCGCGAAAGUGUGUGUGCAUGUGUGUGCAUGUUUAAGACAGACAGAAAGGGGGUGAAACCUGUUUUCUGUGCACGACCUGGUCAUUUUAACACAGUUGAAAGAAGAAGGAAUGAAAAGAAAUAAAGUAAAACAGACAUACAGAAAAAGAGAGAGGGUAAUAAAGAGUGUGGCCAUGAAAGAGAAUUUGCGACAAAUGCAAUUCCAUGAUUGAACAAGUUAACUUUCAGUGAACCUAUUACCCCUAGAACUUAAGCACAGCACAGAGACGUGAAAUAUGUCUACUUUGUGUAUGCACCCCGCUCUUUAUUUUCAUGUGUUUUUCUCCUUGAAAAAAUACAAAAAGUUAGCCUACACAUCCACGUAGAAUACUGACAUUGUGAAUGAAACAGUGUAAAUCAUUGUAGCUUUCCCCAACAUAUACAGUAUUUGUGUCUGUGUAUCUAUCACGUACAGAAAAUGUUCAUUUUUAUG